rnacentral:rRNA from 1 species
AUACGUAGGGUGCAAGCGUUAAUCGGAAUUACUGGGCGUAAAGCGUGCGCAGGCGGUUUUGUAAGACAGAGGUGAAAUCCCCGGGCUCAACCUGGGAACUGCCUUUGUGACUGCAAGGCUAGAGGACGGCCGAGGGGGAUGGAAUUCCGCGUGUAGCAGUGAAAUGCGUAGAUAUGCGGAGGAACACCGAUGGCGAAGGCAAUCCCCUGGGCCUGUACUGACGCUCAUGCACGAAAGCGUGGGGAGCAAACAGGAUUAGAUACCCUGGUAGUCCACGCCCUAAACGAUGUCAACUGGUUGUUGGGUCUUCAUUGACUCAGUAACGAAGUUAACGCGUGAAGUUGACCGCCUGGGGAGUACGGCCGCAAGGUUGAAACUCAAAUGAAUUGACGGGG